rnacentral:rRNA from 1 species
AUUGAACGCUGGCGGCAUGCCUUACACAUGCAAGUCGAACGGCAGCACGGGAGCAAUCCUGGUGGCGAGUGGCGAACGGGUGAGUAAUGUAUCGGAACGUGCCCAGUCGUGGGGGAUAACGCAGCGAAAGCUGUGCUAAUACCGCAUACGAUCUAUGGAUGAAAGCGGGGGAUCGCAAGACCUCGCGCGAUUGGAGCGGCCGAUAUCAGAUUAGGUAGUUGGUGGGGUAAAGGCCCACCAAGCCGACGAUCUGUAGCUGGUCUGAGAGGACGACCAGCCACACUGGGACUGAGACACGGCCCAGACUCCUACGGGAGGCAGCAGUGGGGAAUUUUGGACAAUGGGCGCAAGCCUGAUCCAGCAAUGCCGUGUGCAGGAUGAAGGCCUUCGGGUUGUAAACUGCUUUUGUACGGAGCGAAACGGCUUCCACUAAUACUGGGGGCUAAUGACGGUACCGUAAGAAUAAGCACCGGCUAACUACGUGCCAGCAGCCGCGGUAA